CCCUUAGAUGUCCUGGGCAGCACGCGUGCUACAAUGAUGCAUUCAACGAGUCUUGUCUUAACCGAAAGGUUCGGGUAAACUUUUGAAAUUGCAUCUUGUCGGGGCUUGAUCAUUGUAAUUUUUGAUCACAAACAAGGAAUUCCUUGUAAAUGUGAGUCAUCAACUUGCAUUGAAUACGUCCCUGCCCUUUGUACACACCGCCCGUCGCUUCUACCGAUGAAUGAUCCGGUGAACACUCUGGACUUGUUGUCUGUCGGAGCAAUCCAAAGACGAUAGGGAAGUUGUGUAAACCUUAUCAUUUAGAGGAAGAAGAAGUCGUAACA
rnacentral:rRNA from 1 species